AUUGAACGCUGGCGGAAUGCUUUACACAUGCAAGUCGAACGGCAGCACGGACUUCGGUCUGGUGGCGAGUGGCGAACGGGUGAGUAAUAUAUCGGAACGUGCCCAGUCGUGGGGGACAACGUAGUGAAAAUUACGCUAAUACCGCAUACGAUCUAUGGAUGAAAGCGGGGGAUCGCAAGACCUCGCGCGAUUGGAGCGGCCGAUAUCAGAUUAGGUAGUUGGUGAGGUAAAGGCUCACCAAGCCAACGAUCUGUAGCUGGUCUGAGAGGACGACCAGCCACACUGGAACUGAGACACGGUCCAGACUCCUACGGGAGGCAGCAGUGGGGAAUUUUGGACAAUGGACGCAAGUCUGAUCCAGCCAUUCCGCGUGCAGGACGAAGGCCUUCGGGUUGUAAACUGCUUUUGUACAGAACGAAAAGGUUUCUAUUAAUACUAGGGGCUCAUGACGGUACUGUAAGAAUAAGCACCGGCUAACUACGUGCCAGCCGCCGCAGUAA
rnacentral:rRNA from 1 species